rnacentral:rRNA from 1 species
UACGUAGGUAGCGAGCGUUGUCCGGAAUGACUGGGCGUAAAGGGUGCGUAGGUGGCAUAGCAAGUUGGUAGUGAAAUUCCGAGGCUUAACUUCGGCGCUACUACCAAGACUGUUAAGCUUGAGUACAGGAGAGGUAAGUGGAAUUCCUAGUGUAGCGGUGGAAUGCGUAGAUAUUAGGAGGAACACCAGAGGCGAAGGCGACUUACUGGCCUGCAACUGACACUGAGGCACGAAAGCGUGGGGAGCAAAC